AGCUUAUGUACGUGAAGCAUUAUCUGCCUGAUAUAUAGAGACGGGGCUGGGAGGCCCGGAGGGGCGAUUCGCGCCUCCCACUCGUUUCUAUGAAACCCCCUGGUCCCCCCAAUUGUUUGACAACUAAACAUGUUAUGUGUCAUGUAGAUGGCAAGGGUGGGGGGAUACCAAGGGAUACCAACAAUUUGGUCGCGUGAUCGGUGAAAUCGUUGACGUCGUCAAAAACAGAAAUAUAAUAAUAUUUUAUAUUUCUUAAAUUAUUAAGCGAAAAUAAGCAAAUAUUUGGUCGUUGGAGCUCAAUGCCUAAAUCUAUAUAUUAGUCCAAUCCAUCUACGUGAAAAGGGGCCAACAUCGGACGAAUUGCAACACAAGGUAUUUUAAUGGUUUCUUGUACAGAAAGUAUCCCUCUAUAACAUACUAAUGGUCUAUAAAAAUCGGAGCCGGCAAAUACCCCGAAAAACCGGAUCAAAUGCCCCCAUACAAGGCUUUUUAUGAAAAACCACAGGGCUCCCAAAUCAUGUGUCACGCAUAACUGAGUGCUGUGCACUGUCUAUUUGCAAGAAAAGGUGGAUUCAUGGGGUUGUUGUCUUUUGUUGUUCGACUUUGCCUUUCCUGGUUCUAGAGCCUCGAACGUCUCCUAAAGCUUUACAUGCCACACCGAUCUCCGCUGGCCACUAAAUAGAGGUUCGAGGCUCAGGAUAGGCUUUGCCUGGAUGAGAAAAUAGUUUUCUAAUUAAUCUUUGCAGCUUACCAAAAUGCUGUCUUUUCUAAAACCAAAUAGACUCCAAAAUUGUUUACACUGCUAUUUAGUAAAUAAAUGAAUUGUUACUACUUGUUAGGUCAAGCUACUGAACGUUUAAAAUCUUUUUUUUUUAAACUUUGUUUUCAUCAUCAUUACAAUAUUUUUCUUUGUAAAAUCUCAAAUUAUUCCUCUUAUGUUUUUAUAUUGCAUACAUUAUAAUUAGUACAGGCAGUAAAGAAGUCGACUAUCUUUUGUCGGCCAGCGUUUCUGGCCCAGAAACGGAAGGAGGCUCCUCUCGUUGUUUUGGCCUCAAAGGAUGUUGGCGAACUGCUUCUGACGACAUGGUGUGAAAAUCCCACCAACCUUGCUAGUCUAAUAGACUCAGUCAGACACCAUUGGGGGCUGCGAAGGAGUUUACUGGUCUGGCAGUGGUUUUCUCCAGCAUUGCAGGCGAGGACCUACCCCAUGACCACACACAGUCAUCAUCCGUCAAACACAAAGUCUGUGCAUCUCCACUACCACACGCCACGUCAAUCACCCGGUUGCCACGCAGCGCCUCUACCACUUUGGGCAGCAGCUGGUCCUCGCUGUCACCGUGUCCAAGGCGACCAUAGCGGCCUUUGCCCCACGUGUACAGCUCGUGAUUCUGGGUAAUGCACGCGGAGUGAGAGCCGCCGCACGAGAUGUCGAUGACGCCCUUGCCACGGAGAGCUUCAAUCACACGCGGGCGAUCGCAGGAACUGAACAAAGGUUAAAAGGGAGCAUCCAAGUCAGCAGACGGGCAGAGAACAUGUGUCGUAUCCCAGACAAGCAACAGCAAUCAAGAAAAGCGGUGAACAGCACAUUCUAAAACCUAGACAAGCAGCGAACAGCACACUCCAAAACCAAGACAAGCAGCGAACACAUCCGGUAAACAAGAAAGCACUGAACACAUCCGGUAAACAAGAAAGCACUGAACACAUUCCAAAAGCCAAGACAAGCACUGAACACAUCUGGUAAACAAGGAAACAAUCAAUAAAGACACUGAACUCAUUAUAAUACUCAUUACCAUCAUCAGAUUUAUGAUAUUUUAUGCAAUAUUACAUAAUUAUUAAUGACAAUCAUCUAAAGUUACGUACUUCCUGUUACCAUGGCCGAGUUUGCCGUCAUCUCCCUCGCCCCAGGAGUACACGUCACCGUCUGCGCUAAGCGCCAUGGCAUGUUUCCCUCCUGAGUGUACUGCCACCUUACGGACCACCACGUGUUGCAAGGACUCCAGCAUCUUGAUGGACGUGACGGUAUCUGUACCUCCCAGUCCCAGGCGGCCUCCAUGACCAUACCCAGUGGCAUACACCUGAAGAACAAGGACAGGGAUUCAACAUGAAAUAUGUCCAGGACCUUACUAUCCCGAACAAGAUAGCCAAGCCACCAUGUGGCCAUACCAAGUGGCAAACACCCAAGGAUCGUUGACAGCAUUUCAUGCUGCAAUGUUUAUUUCGUAUGGGUAAAUUAGGUCAAUCCGGAAUUUUAGUUCGUUUCUUUAUUCUUCCCUCCUACCUUCCUACACCUGUACUAUCCUUUUGUUUUUAAAUAUAUUCUUAUUGGUUAGUUAUAGCAAAAGCUUUUUAUCAACCGAGUGUUAUUUCCAUGAGUAAAAUUAAAAGCGCAUUUUCGCCUUGCCUUCAGCUGUGACAGGAAAGAGUGUCUGUUCUCCACCAAUUAGAGUCACCCUCUCACCUUGCCUUCAGCUGUGACAGCAAACAGUGUCUGCUCCCCACCAACUAUCUGGACGGGCCUGAUGGAAGCAAGCGCCUCGAUAGUCUGUGGCAGCUUCACCUUUGCACCUUCCAGGCUUCCAAGCUGACCUCUAUGAUUGUGACCCCAUCCAUAUAUGGUACCGCUCCCUCCCCACGUCAUUGUCCAGUCAGAGGGUCGUCUGUAAAGGUAAAAAGGCAUCAGUAUCAUGGUAGUUAACGCCUUGGGGAUGUCGUGAGUUGUGGAAGCACGCAUGACCUAGUGUGGUAGCGAGUCGGUCUCUCAAUCCUAGGAUCCGGGUUUGAACCGUGGCUCUGACCAGACAGUUUACCGAGUCUAUGCCUUGAACUGUGUUUUUAGCCUUCUCAGAUAAGGACACUAAACCGGAGGUCCCGUCGCAAAUUUCCCUUUCGCAAACGGUCGUUGCCAAUUAUAACGGUCGUUGUCAUUCCUGAGAACGGCCGUUGCCAUUUUUAACCGUCGAUGCCAAAUCGAAAACCAACCGAACCGACGACUUCCUUCGUGACUAGUUCGAGAGUGAUUUUCACUCAAGAGUGCUGUAUGACGUCAUUACCUGGCACUCUGUUUACAAGAUGGCGGAUCAGUCCACGUGCGCGAGUGCUGGACCAAAACCAUCCCAUUCUUCUGCAGACAAAAGAUCUAUCAAGAAGCCAACAGGGUGGAACUCUUUUUUAUAAUAUACAUAUGUAUUAUUUGUAAAAGUUAUUGUUUAUUUAUGAUGAUGCAACCCAAUCUUUCACCAGUUUCUUACAUCAAUUCUGUGAACUCUUGCUAACGAUUUCUAACUGCUAAACUGUCUUCUGUAAAUCAAAACCCCUGAAGCUUAUUCAUUCACCAACACUUAAUUAUUUAAUGGCUUCCAAUCAUACCAUCUCACCGCAAGCAUAGAGUACAAAAUGUAAUUCUGUUAUAAAUUCAAAGUUCAAAUGAUGGAAGCUGGUUUGCAGUUCAGCAAUUGGAAAUAGUUGGCAAGAGUGCAAAAUUGGUUCAAUGACAACAAUUAUAUAUAUACUUUACUUUAAGUUUGCUGCUUCGCUACUGUAAUGUUUAUAAAAGAACAAGUCUAACAACAAAAAUAUUGAACAUUGUAUACCUUUGAUGCAUUCCAUAAAACAUACUUACAGGAUUUUAUAAAAUUUCCCUAGGAUUUCUC